GAUGAACGCUGGCGGCGUGCCUAAUACAUGCAAGUCGAACGCUGAAGGAGGAGCUUGCUCUUCUGGAUGAGUUGCGAACGGGUGAGUAACGCGUAGGUAACCUGCCUGGUAGCGGGGGAUAACUAUUGGAAACGAUAGCUAAUACCGCAUGACAACAGUUACUGCAUGAUAACUGUUUAAAAGGGGCAACUGCUCCACUACCAGAUGGACCUGCGUUGUAUUAGCUUGUUGGUGAGGUAACGGCUCACCAAGGCGACGAUACAUAGCCGACCUGAGAGGGUGGUCGGCCACACUGGGACGGAGACACGGCCCAGACUCCUACGGGAGGCAGCAGGAGGGAAUCGUCGGCAAUGGACGGAAGUCUGACCGAGCAACGCCGCGGGAGUGAAGAAGGGUGUCGGAUGGUAAAGCUCGGUUGUAGGGGAAGAACGAGUGUGAGAGUGGAAAGUUCACACUGUGACGGUAUCUGACCAGAAAGGGACGGCUAACUACGUG
rnacentral:rRNA from 1 species